AUCGUUGCCCGAUGCCUACUGCAGUGCAAUAGGAAUUUCUAGGGCGAAUGAUGCUCCGUGAGCGUUGUUGCCUCGCGGUUGGUUGAAAAUCGAGUCCUUGGUGGGGUGUGCCAUGAUAGAUGGUGGUCGAGUUAGCACAAUACCGAUCGUGUGCAUGCUCCCCAAAAUAUGGCCUCUAUGACCCACACGCGUCUAUUGACGCACA
rnacentral:misc_RNA from 1 species